rnacentral:rRNA from 1 species
UACAUGGAGUCCAAAACGUUAUCCGGAUUUACUGGGCGUAAAGCGUCCGUAGGUGUUCCUGUAAGUCUUCGGUGAAAUCUCCGGGCUUAACUCGGAAAUUGUCGAGGAAACUGCAGGAAUUGAGUACGGCAGAGGCAGAUGGAAUUCUUGGUGUAGAGGUAAAAUUCGUUGAUAUCAAGAAGAAACACCAGUGGCGAAGGCGAUCUGCUGGGCCGUUACUGACACUGAGGGACGAAAGCGUGGGGAGCGAACGGG